rnacentral:rRNA from 1 species
UGGGGAAUAUUGGACAAUGGGGGGAACCCUGAUCCAGCCAUGCCGCGUGUGUGAAGAAGGCCUUAUGGUUGUAAAGCACUUUAAGCGAGGAGGAGGGUACUGGUAUUAAUACUACCAGCUACUGGACGUUACUCGCAGAAUAAGCACCGGCUAACUCUGUGCCAGCAGCCGCGGUAAUACAGAGGGUGCGAGCGUUAAUCGGAUUUACUGGGCGUAAAGCGUGCGUAGGCGGCUAAUUGAGUCGGAUGUGAAAUCCCCGAGCUUAACUUGGGAAUUGCAUUCGAUACUGGUUAGCUAGAGUGCGGGAGAGGAUGGUAGAAUUCCAGGUGUAGCGGAGAAAUGCGUAGAGAUCUGGAGGAAUACCGAUGGCGAAGGCAGCCAUCUGGCCUAACACUGACGCUAAGGUACGAAAGCAUGGGGAGCAAACAGG